GACGAACGCUGGCGGCGUGCUUAACACAUGCAAGUCGAGCGGUAAGGCCCUUUCGGGGGUACACGAGCGGCGAACGGGUGAGUAACACGUGGGUGACCUGCCCUCAGCUCUGGGAUAAGCCUGGGAAACCGGGUCUAAUACCGGAUAUGACUCCAUGACGCAUGUUGUGGGUGGAAAGCCUUGUGCGGCUGAGGAUGGGCCCGCGGCCUAUCAGCUUGUUGGUGGGGUGAUGGCCUACCAAGGCGACGACGGGUAGCCGGCCUGAGAGGGCGACCGGCCACACUGGGACUGAGACACGGCCCAGACUCCUACGGGAGGCAGCAGUGGGGAAUCUUGCGCAAUGGGCGAAAGCCCGACGCAGCGACGCCGCGUGAGGGAUGACGGCCUCGGUUGUAA
rnacentral:rRNA from 1 species